UUGGUGUUAACGAGAGAGAGAGAGAGAGAGAGAAUGAAGGAUAUUUUAGCCUCAUUCAAUAAGUUAAAAAAAAAUAUAAUAGAAAAUAUGAUUGUGGAGGGAGGGAAGGUUCGGUUUGUCCGCUAAAUUAAAUUCCGUAUGUAGGAUCAGAUUACGUGUUGCCGAGAGAGAGAGAGAGAGAGAGAGAUUGAAGGAUAUUUUAGCCUCAUUCAAUAAGUUAAAAAAAAUAUAUAAUAGAAAAUAUGAUUGUGGAGGGAGGGAAGGUUCGGUUUGUCCGCUAGAUUAAAUUCCGUACGUAGGUUCAGAUUUGGUGUUAACGAGAGAAAGGUGAGCGUGUGAUUUUUCUAUUCCUAUUAAUAAAUCAAAUAAGUAAAAGCUCAUCCAAUCUCUCUGUCAAAUAAAUAAAGCUGAAUCAAAAAGGAAAUAUUGGCUUGAAAACAAUAUGGAUUUGUCUUAGGGUGGAAGAAGGUUAUUUUAGCCUCACCCAAUAAGUUUAAAAGUAAUAAUAAUAGAAAAUAAGAUCGUGGAGGGAGGGAAGGAUCGGUUUGUCCAUUAGAUUAAAUUCCACAUAUAGAAUCAGAUUAUGUGUUAACGAGAGAAGAGAGGAAGGUGAACCAUGUGAUUCUUCUAUUCCUUUUAUCACCCGACACAAAUAUGGUCAGUUCGGGAGGGGCCUGAACCUCUCCAUACGUGGGUUCAGGUCAGGUGUUAACGAGAGAAGAGAGAAAGGUGACCAAGUGAUUCUUCUAUUCCUUUUAUCAUCCGACACAAAUAUGGUCAGUUCGGGAGGGGCCUGAACCUCUCCAUACGUAGGUUCAGGUCAGGUGUUAACGAGAGAAGAGAGGAAGGUGACCAAGUGAUUCUUAUAUUCCUUUUAUCAUCCGACGCAAAUAUGGUCAGUUCGGGAGGGGCCUGAACCUCUCCACUGCUCUUCUGCACUGUCGCCAAUACAUCACUAUUAGAAUUGAUGACUGAAGAGAAUGAUGAAGGUGUGUGAAGAGAGAAAUAGAGAUGAUGUGAAGAGAAAUGUGGAGAAAAGUGAUGAUUGGGAUAUGUGAUGUUGAGAGAAAUGGUGAGUUAGUCUUUCGUGAAUCCCCAAUGCCUCCUCUGCGUACUGUUAGAAAUUGCGUAUCAAAUUUUCUGCACACACUAACUAAGAAUUGACUGCGCUCUGGCCUGGUAACUCCUCGAACGGCCCCUCCCAACCUGACGUCACAGCUGAAUCGGACUAUAUUAAGCUUAGGGUGAAAAAAGACAUUAAUUUGAUAACUGAACAAGGUAGGAUCGUUAGCGGAAUAAGGAAGCAAAUAUUUUACACGAUUUUGUCUUAUACUCUUAAAUAACAGAUGAUGAUGAUAGUUAUGAUGAUGAUGAAGGUGUAUUGUGAUAUAGUGAGGUGACAGAGUAUAGUGUAUUUGAUUUCUCUUAAGUUUGAUGAUAAGAUGGACUUGUGUGAUGGUGGUGAUGGUGAUGGUGAUGAAAAAGUGGUGUGGUGAUGGUGUGAUUUUGAAGUAGUGAUGUAGAAGAGAGAAGUUAUGAAUAGUGAUGAGAGAGAGAGAGAGAGAUGAUGUGUAAUGUAGGAGAGAAAUGAUGAAAAAUAGUGAUGUAGAAGAGAAAUGAUGAUGUGAUGAAUAGUGUUGCAGAAGAGAGAAAUUGUGUGAUGAAGAGAAAAGUGAUGAUGGAACAAGAGAGAGAGAGAGAGAGAGAGGAUAGUUUGCUGAAGAGAGUAGUGAUGAACUGAUGAUAUAGAAGAGAAAUGAUGGAGUGAUGAAGGAAAGAGAAGUAAUAAUUCGUGAUGUAGAAGAGAGAAGUGAUGAUUUGUGAUGACUUCAAGUGUUCCGUUGUGAUGUAUCGAUGUUUAAAGAGAAUUAUGAAGGUGUGAAGAGAAAAAGAGAGAUAUGGUGUGAUGAGAAAUGUGGAGAAAAGUGAUGAUAGGGAUGUGUGAUGUCGAGAAAAGUGAUGAGUUAGUGUUUUGUGAUGAUAUAUGAUGUUUAAAAAGAAGUGAUGAUUUGUAGUGAAGAUUACAAAAGACAGUAUUUUUCAUUGAUGUGUUAGUGUUAGUAGUGAUGAUAAAAAAAGAGUAUUGCAGUGGUGGUGAUGAUGGUGAUGAGGAGGAGGAGGAGAAUGUGUUGCAGUGUUUCAGUAUUCCAGGUGUUGCAAGUUGCGGAGAGCUGGUGUGUUGUGUUGUGUGUUAUGGGAAGGAAGGGUGAUGGGAUUUAAGAAGCAAGAUAAUGUCUAAAAUCUGGUCAAUGUCAUAUGAUUUAGGCAUUGGUGGUGAUGAAGGCUUGAGUAGAUGGUGAUAGUGUGAUGAUGUUUGAAGUUGAUAACGAUGGUGAUGAAGAAUGAAGUAGAUGGGGAUGAUGGUUUCUGUCUUAAGAGUGAUGUAUUAGUGAUGAUUCCUGAAGUAGAAGAUGGUGAUAGUGUGAUGAUGUUUGAAGUUGAUAACGAUGGUGAUGAAGAAUGAAGAUAGGGAUGAUGGUUGCUGAUGAUGAUUCCUGAAGUAGAAGAUGGUGAUAGUGUGAUGAUUGAAGUUAUCGCUGUGAUACAUUGAUGGUGAUGAAACCUGAAUUAUAAGCUUGUGAUGAUGUUAUGCUGCCACUAAUCUUCCACUUGAUUAAUAAGAGGCACAAAGGACGAAGGGCGGAUUAGGUGGAGUUAACCGGUCACAGUGCCACAGAGGUUACCAGGAGUCACAGUAUUAAUAAGGCCUAAAACAAUAGCAAUAAAAGAAAUAACGAUGGAAGAAACACUAGAAUUAAUAGAACAACAACCUCAAAGAAAUAACAACACAAGAAACACUAAAAAUACCACCACAGCGACAACCUCCACACUCCACACACAUCUAAAGUGGAAGGGAAAGACGGCCAUCACCACCACCUUCGGCCAGGACUUUUUAUCGUCGUUCCACUUUCCAUCCGUUCAUCCGCAUUUAUAUUCGCAUUUUUACGUCUAUAUAUAUUUUUGUGUGUGUCGUCUUCCAUUGCUGUCCGCUCCCCGUUAGGUUCCGUCGCAUGUAUGUGAUUUAGUUUGGCAUUAUUUUUGUAUUGCGGUUUUUUUUUCUGGUUUAAAUAAGGCUUUUUUUUCUCUUUUUUUUCUUGUUUACUUCACAUACAUUAUUUAGUUCGGCAUUAUUUUUGUAUUGCGUUUAUAUAUUUUUUUCUCUUUGCUCAAAUAUGGCUGUUAUCUCUUCAUUCCUUUUUAUUGUUUCCACCUAAGAUGACCGACCUUCAGAUACUCUCCAUUAUGUACUCUUGUGAAACUGGACAACCCCUUCCUCCCCUCUUCUUUCUCCCCCUCUCUCCCCUCCUCUUUCUCCCCCUCUCUCCCCUCUUUUCCCCCUCUCACUCUCCUUCCCCCUUCCCCCCUCCUCUUUCUCCCUCUCUCUCCCCUCUUUUCCCCCUCUCAUUCCCUCUCUCCCUCUCCUUCCCCCUUCCCCCCUCCUCUUUCUCCCCCUCUCUCCCCUCUUUUCCCCCUCU